AGAGUUUGAUCCUGGCUCAGGAUGAACGUUGGCGGUGUGCCUAAUACAUGCAAGUCGAACGGAGACUGUAGCAAUACUGUCUUAGUGGCGAACGGGUGAGUAACGCGUUGGUGAUCUGCCUCGAAGUGUGGAAUAACCUCCCGAAAGGGAAGCUAAUACCGCAUAGUCUCUCAAGGUUUAGAAAAUUGAGAGUAAAGGAUUUAUUCGCUUCGAGAGGAGCCUGCGUCCCAUCAGCUAGUUGGUAGGGUAACGGCCUACCAAGGCUAUGACGGGUAGGGGACCUGAGAGGGUGGCCCCCCACAAUGGAACUGAAACACGGUCCAUACACCUACGGGUGGCAGCAGUAGGGAAUAUUAGAAAUGGGCGGAAGCCUGAUCUAGCAACACCGCGUGUGCGAUGAAGGCCUUCGGGUCGUAAAGCACUUUUUGGAGGGAAUAGGAAGGAAGGUACCUCCAGAAUAAGUCUCGGCUAACUACGUGCCAGCAGCCGCGGUAACACGUAGGAGGCAAACGUUAUCCGGAUUCACUGGGCGUAAAGCGCGUGCAGGUGGUUUCGUAAGUAGGGCGUGAAAGCUCCCGGCUCAACUGGGAGAGGCCGUACUAAACUGCGGAGCUAGAGGAUGGUAGAGGGAGGUGGAAUUCCAGGUGUAGUGGUGAAAUGCGCAGAUAUCUGGAGGAACACCAGUGGCGAAGGCGGCCUCCUGGACCAUACCUGACACUCAGACGCGAAAGCUAGGGUAGCAAACGGAAUUAGAGACUCCGGUAGUCCUAGCCCUAAACGAUGCAGACUAGGCGUCGGCGGUUUAAUCACCGUCGGUGUCCAAGCUAACGCGAUAAGUCUGCCGCCUGAGGACUACGGCCGCAAGGCUAAAACUCAAAGGAAUUGACGGGUCCCCGCACAAGCAGCGGAGCGUGUGGUUUAAUUCGAUGCUCCGCGAAGAACCUUACCUGGGUUUGACAUAACAGUGGUAGAGAAACGAAAGUGGACCGACCCUUCGGGGAGCUGUUACAGGUGUUGCAUGGCUGUCGUCAGCUCGUGUCGUGAGAUGUUCGGUUAAGUCCGGCAACGAGCGCAACCCCUGUGGCCAGUUGCCAUCAUUCAGUUGGGCACUCUGGCAAGACUGCCGUUAAUAAAACGGAGGAAGGUGGGGAUGACGUCAAAUCAUCAUGCCCCUUAUGUCCUGGGCUUCACACGUACUACAAUGGUAACAACAGAGGGCAGCCACACCGCGAGGUGGAGCGAAUCCCAAAAUGUUAUCCCAGUUCGGAUUGCAGGCUGAAACUCGCCUGCAUGAAGCAGGAAUUGCUAGUAAUGGCAGGUCAGCAUACUGCCGUGAAUACGUUCCCGGGCCUUGUACACACCGCCCGUCACACCAUGAGAGUUUGUAACACCCGAAGUCAGUAGUCUAACUCAGCAAUGAGAGGGCGCUGCCGAAGGUGGGACAGAUGAUUGGGGUGAAGUCGUAACAAGGUA
rnacentral:rRNA from 1 species